rnacentral:rRNA from 1 species
GUACCUACGGGGGGCAGCAGUGGGGAAUAUUGGGCAAUGGGCGCAAGCCUGACCCAGCAACGUCGCGUGAAGGAAGAAGGCUUUCGGGUUGUAAACUUCUUUUAUCAGGGACGAUAAUGACGGUACCUGAAGAAAAAGCUCCGGUUAACUACGUGCCAGCAGCCGCGGUAAUACGUAGGGAGCGAGCGUUGUCCGGAAUUACUGGGUGUAAAGGGAGCGUAGGCGGGACGGCAAGUCAGAUGUGAAAACUGAGGGCUCAACCUUCAGACUGCAUUUGAAACUGCUGUUCUUGAGUG